AGUGGUAUAUGUUGGUGCAGGUGAUGUUGAUGUUAGUACAGUUGAUGUUGAGGAUGGUACGUUUGUUGUAACUACAGUGGUAGAUGUUGGUGCAGUUGAUCUUAAGGUGAGUGCAGCAGUUGCUGAUGAAGAGGUAGAUGUUGGUUUAGUUGUUGUUGAUAGAGUGGUGGAUAUUGGUGCAGUUGUUGUUGAUAGAGUGAUGGAUGUUGGUGCAGGUGUUGCUGAGGUUGGUGCAGUUGUUGAUGGAGUGGUAGAUGUUGGUACAGUUGUUGUUGGUGCAGUUGAUGUUGGUGCAGAAGUUGUUGGUAGGGUGGUGGAUGUUGGUGAAGUUGUUGUUGAAAGAGUGGUGGAUGUUGGUGCAGUUGUUGCUGAGGUUGGUGCAGUUGUUGUCGAUGGAGUGGUAGAUGUUGGUGCAGUUGUUGUUAACAGAGUGCUAGAUGUUGGUACAGUUGUUGUUAAUGGAGUGGUAGAUGUUGGUGCAGUUGAUGUUGAGGUUGCUGCAGCAGUUGUUGAUAGAGUGGUAGAUGUUGGUGCAGUUGUUGUUGUGGUUGGUGCAGCAGUGGUUGGUAGAGUGGUAGAUGUUGGUGGAAUUGAUGUUGAGGUUGGUGCAGUUGUUGGUGAUAGAGUGGUGGAUGUUGGUGCAGUUGAUAUUGAGGUUGGAGCAGCAGUUGCUGGUAGAGUGGUAGAUGUUGGUGCAGUUGAUAUUGAGGUUGGUGCAGUAGUUGUUGGUAGAGUGGUAAAUGUUGGAGCAGUUGUUAGAGUGGUGGAUGUUUGUGCAGUUGUUGUUGAGGUUGGUGCAGCAGUUGUUGGUAGAGUGGUAGAUGUUGGUGAAGUUGAUGUUGAGGUUGGUGCAGCAGUUGUUGGUAGAGUGGUAGAUGUUGGUGAAGUUGAUGUUGAGGUUGGUGCAGCAGUUGUUGGUAGAGUGGUAAAUGUUGGAGCAGUUGUUAGAGUGGUGGAUGUUUGUGCAGUUGUUGUUGAGGUUGGUGCAGCAGUUGUUGGUAGAGUGGUAGAUGUUGGUUUGGUGCAGUUGUUGUUGAUGGAGUGGUAGAUGUUGGUGCAGUUGAUGUUGAGGUUGGUGCAGCAGUUGUUGGUAAAGUGGUAGAUCUUGGUAAAGUUGAUGUUGAUGAAGUGGUAGAUGUUGGUGGCGUUGACGUUGAGGUUGGUACAGUUGUUUUUAACAGAGUGGUAGAUGUUGGUGCAGUUGAUGUUGGGGGUGGGGCAGCAGUUGGUGGUGNNNNNNNNNNNNNNNNNNNNNNNNNNNNNNNNNNNNNNNNNNNNNNNNNNNNNNNNNNNNNNNNNNNNNNNNNNNNNNNNNNNNNNNNNNNNGUGCAGCAGUUGUUGGUAGAGUGGUAGAUGUUGGUGAAGUUGAUGUUGAGGUUGGUGCAGCAGUUGUUGGUAGAGUGGUAGAUGUUGGUAAAGUUGAUGUUGAUGAAGUGGUAGAUGUUGGUGGCGUUGACGUUGAGGUUGGUGCAGUUGUUGUUGGGGUUGGUGCAGCAGUUGUUGGUAGAGCGGUAGAUGUUGGUGCAGUUGAUGUUGAGGUUGGUGCAGCAGUUGUUGGUAGAGUGGUAGAUGUUAGUAAAGUUGAUGUUGAGGUUGGUGCAGCAGUUCUUGGUAGAGUGGUAGAUGUUGGUGGAGUAGAUGUUGAUGUUGGUGGAGUUGUUGAUAGAGUGGUGGAUGUUUGUGCAGUUGUUGUUGUGGUUGGUGCAGCAGUGGUUGGUAGAAUGUUUGUGCAGUUGUUGCUGAGGUUGGUGCAGCAGUUGUUGGUAGAGUGGUAUAUGUUGGUGCAAGUGAUGUUGAUGUUAGUACAGUUGAUGUUGAGAAUGGUACAGUUGUUGUAACUACAGUGGUAGAUGUUGGUCCAGUUGAUGUUAAGGCUGGUGCAGCAGUUGCUGAUGAAGAGGGAAAUGUUGGUUCAGUUGUUGUUGAUAGAGUGGUGGAUGUUGGUGCAGGUGUUGCUGAGGUUGGUGCAGUUGUUGAUGGAGUGGUAGAUGUUGGUACAGUUGUUGUUGGUGCAGUUGAUGUUGGUGCAGAAGUUGUUGGUAGGGUGGUGGAUGUUGGUGAAGUUGUUCUUGUUGUUGAAAGAGUGGUGGAUGUUGAUGCAGUUGUUGCUGAGGUUGGUGCAGUUGUUGUCGAUGGAGUGGUAGAUGUCAUUACAGUUGAUGUUGAGUUUGGCGCAGCAGCUGUUGGUAGAGUGGUAGAUGUUAGUAAAGUUGAUGUUGAUGGAGUGGUAGAUGUUGGUGCUGUUGAUGUUGAGGUUGGUGCAGUUGUUGAUAUUCUGGUAGAUGUUGGUGCAGUUGUUGCUGAGGUUGGUGCAGUUGUUGUUAACAGAGUGCUAGAUGUUGGUACAGUUGUUGUUAAUGGAGUGGUAGAUGUUGGUGCAGGUUGGUGCAGUUGUUGUUGAUGGAGUGGUAGAUGUUGGUGCAGUUGAUGUUGAGGUUGGUGCAGCAGUUGUUGAUGGAGUGGUAGAUGUUGGUGCAGUUGAUGUUGAGGUUGGUGCAUUUGUUGUUGAUUGAGUGGAAGAUGUUGGUGCAGUUGAUGUUGAGGUUGGUGCAGCAGUUGUUGGUAGAGUAGUAGAUGUUGGUGCAGUUGAUGUUGAGGUUGGUGAAGUUGUUGUUGAAAGAGAGGUGGAUGUUGAUGCAGUUGUUGCUGAGGUUGGUGCAGUUGUUGUCGAUGGAGUGGUAGAUGUCAGUACAGUUGAUGUUGAGGUUGGCGCAGCAGUUGUUGGUAGAGUGGUAGAUGUUAGUAAAGUUGAUGUUGACGGAGUGGUAGAUGUUGGUGCUGUUGAUGUUGAGGUUGGUGCAGUUGUUGAUAUUGUGGUAGAUGUUGGUGCAGUUGUUGCUGAGGUUGGUGCAGUUGUUGUUAAUGGAGUGGUAGAUGUUGGUGCAGUUGAUUUUGAGGUUGGUGCAGCAGUUGUUGGUAGAGUGGUAGAUGUUGUUGCAGUUGAUGUUGAGGUUGGUGCAGCAGUUCUUGGUAGAGUGGUAGAUGUUGGUGGAGUAGAUGUUGAUGUUGGUGGAGUUGUUGAUAGAGUGGUGGAUGUUUGUGCAGUUGUUGUUGUGGUUGGUGCAGCAGUGGUUGGUAGAGUGGUAGCUGUUGGUGGAGUUGAUGUUGAGGUUGGUGCAGCAGUUGUUGGUAGAGUGGUAAAUGUUGGAGCAGUUGUUAGAGUGGCAGAUGUUUCUGCAGUUGAUGUUGAGGUUGGUGCAGCAGUUGUUGGUAGAGUGGUAAAUGUUGGAGCAGUUGUUAGAGUGGCAGAUGUUUCUGCAGUUGAUGUUGAGGUUGGUGCAGCAGUUGUUGGUAGAGUGGUAAAUGUUGGAGCAGUUGUUAGAGUGGCAGAUGUUUCUGCAGUUGAUGUUGAGGUUGGUGCAGCAGUUGUUGGUAGAGU
rnacentral:lncRNA from 1 species